UCUUCUCCAUUUUUUCACAAAAAGUCAAAAGAUGUUUCUUUCACCAAGAAAAUAAGCUUCCCCUUCCCUUUCCAUCCUUUUCAAUCCUUACCUCCUUUUCCUUUCAUCUUGACUUUUCUUCCAUUUUUUGGCCAAUUCUUGACUUUCAAAUCCCUGUGUACAAGAGCACAUCCCAACCAUUUUGGGUAUUAAUUUGAAACAAAUAUGCUCAAAUUCUCAUGCAAAUCCGAAACAAAUUUGCUCAAAUCUCGCUCAUUAAAUGAUGAACGACUAUUUUACCGUUCAAAUCCCCAACGUCCAAAUUCAAAUGGAUAUGUUGACCGAAAUUAAAGAUCUGAAUUUCAAAAUCCCACCCAAGUCAAGAACCCUAGAUUUUCACCUAUAAAAACCAGCACUUGGAGUCCAUCUGGACAUGGUUUUUAGCCGCACUUUUACCCCAAAUUUGAUGGUUGUUAGCUGCCUCCCACUCCUAAACUCUUUUUUUUUUGAAGUCGCUGCCUUUCUCUUUAAACAAAAAGUUUUAACCGCUUCUCAAACCUAAAAUCGCUACUUUGAGUCGUCUUCUCUCUUUAUUCUAUUCACGUUUUAUUCUUCAAAAGACUUCCCAAAAGCUUAGCCUUUCCUUAAAUACUUCGUAUUUCUUUUCCAAACUCUCCAACAAAGUUGUUCGCAGUAGGAGUUUCGAGGUCGGAGUUCGAGAGUGCAUCUAAGAUUGUCGCCCUCGGUUCACUGCCCCCAAGCAGGUCCGUAGCUUUAAAUUUCCUUCUCCCUGUUUUUCUUAUUUUUCUAUUUUGAGUACCAUAAUAAAUGGUUGCUUAAGAAUGUGACUUGUUUUCUAUGUAGAAAUCAUGAUUUAGGAAUUAGUUUGUUGAGAAACCAUGAUUUGUGGUUCAUUGCGUAUUCUGGCAAUAGAGAGUUCAAAUAAGAAUGGCAUGUGUUUGACUAAAUUCUCAUAUGAACCUGCCUAUGAAAUUUGUUGAUAGUACAUCCUGAUUAUUAAAUCCUUAGUUAAUAUGCCGUUUUCAGUUAUUUAAGAAUCAUGUUUGUAGGCCAUGAACUUUUAUGGAUUAGCCACUAUUUACUUACUUAAAUGUCAUAUAGAAGAAGUACUUUGCUAAAAUGCCGUAAAAGAAUGAUGUUCGAAAGGCUUAGAAGUCAUGCUUAUAGGAUUUUAAACAUCUCGCUUGAAAUAAAUUGCAUUGACAGAAAUGUGCUUCCGACUUUCUUGCUGCAUUAACUCUUAAGAAACCAUGACCAUAGGAAUUUAUUGUUCUUCCUUCAUGAAGGAACAUGGAUGCUGGUGCAUUUUUUUCUAAUUCUUUAAAGUUUGUGAUAGAUUAUCGGGUAGCUUAAUGACUUUGUAUGACCCUAAUAUUUAUUGCUAGAUCCUUAAACUUUGGAAAUUAGUUCAAUAGAAAAUGCUUAAUCUUAGGACAUUAAUCUGUUCCGCUAAUUCUUUUAUUUCCCUUUUUCUUCAGGCGAGACUACUCUCUUGUAGCCUCCUCGAAUUGUUGGAAUUGGAUAAUCAAGAGACAAAAAUAAAAUACUUUUGAGAAUGAUGAUAAAACAGCAAAUAGUUUUGUAUUUCAAUGAACUCUCAAUAGUAUUCCGUGUCCUUACAAAUGAUGAUACUUCUUCCUUUUAUAGAUAAUUCUAGGUAAAGGAAUGAAGUCUCAGCUUUAAUGAUAUAAUUAUGAGUAGUAAAUGACAUUAAAUAAGCCGUUAUACAAUCAUUCCUAUUAAAUACCAAUUUUCUAACGUAUCAAGUAUUUAAUAAUGAAUUUGGACUCCUUUCUGUCAUCAGAUCUUUGUCUUUAAUGUCUUCUAAUCCGUUGGCCGUAAAUAAUUUAAAUUGGUACGAGACUCGUAUCUAUUCUUCGUCUCGUGCCUAUUUAAAUUCUUUUUCCCGUGGCUGUCUCCAACCGUGCCUCUUAGUCAAUUGUUGCGCUUUGACCAUUUAACUAAACCACGUGUCAUGCCACAUCAUCUUUAAUAUAAACUCAGUUUUUUCCCAAUACAGAUAGUCCCCCCACUUUCCAUUUAUUUAUCAAUUAAAUAAUUGAGAAGUGGAUCUUCAUAAAAAAGGAAUUUUUGCCACAAUUAAUGCUUAUGACAGUAUUAACGCCUCAACAGUCUUUUCCAUUUAAUGUUCUGCCCAUGUGUCAUUUUCUGAUUGAUUCUGCUAUUUACACCCUUUUUCGAGACUUCUUCAUUCUCACUAUUCACGAAGUGAUAGCUGCCUUUAUUAUAGGCUUUCCAUCAUUACACUUCUAAGGUUGACGGUUCUCAUUAUAUACAUAACUUUUUCUUCCUUUGUCUUCUUCACAAAUCUUCAGCAAAU
rnacentral:lncRNA from 1 species